rnacentral:misc_RNA from 1 species
AGAGAGAGAGAGAGAGAGAGCGUGUGCGUUGUCGUGCGGGCAAGAGGAGGAUCCAUAAUGGACAAUUUAUUGUGGAUUGUAUUAGCAAUCUUGUUGUCUUCCAUAAUCCUGUACAGGAACAGGAGGUUUAGCAUCAUCAGAUCAUCUAAGUACAAAACCCCACUUCCUUUAGGCACUCUUGGAUGGCCUUUUCUCGGAGAAACUCUCGAGUUCAUUUCCUGUGCUUACUCAGACCGCCCUGAAAGCUUCAUGGAUAAACGUCGCCGCAUGUAUGGGAAGGUGUUCAAGUCGCACAUAUUUGGAAGUCCUACUAUAGUAUCAACAGAUGCAGAAGUGAGCAAAUUUAUACUACAAAGUGAUGCAAAGAUCUUUGUACCAUCUUACCCGAAAUCUCUCACAGAGUUGAUGGGAAAAUCCUCCAUUUUGCUCAUCAAUGGGAGCUUGCAGAAGAGAAUACAUGGCCUGAUAGGAGCCUUCUUCAAAUCCACUCAUCUCAAAGCUCAAAUCACUAGAGACAUGCGAGUUUAUGUUCAAGAAUCAAUGAAGAAAUGGAGAGAUGACCACCCCAUAUGCAUACAAGACGAAACCAAAAAUAUUGCCUUUCAAGUCCUAGUCAAGGCAUUGAUCAGUUUGGAUCCUGGUGAAGAAAUGGAGUCUCUAAAGAAACAGUUCCAAGAAUUUAUCUCUGGUCUCAUGUCUCUACCCAUAAAUAUCCCUGGAACUCAACUUUAUCGCUCUUUACAGGCCAAGAAGAAAAUGGUGAAGUUGGUGCAAAAAAAUUAUUCAAUCUAAAAGGGUUCAUGAUCAUCAUCAUGGUGGUGGUGGUGGCAUCUCAAUAGUACCUAAGGAUGUGGUAGAUGUUCUGCUUAACGAUGCCAGUGAACAAUUUACCCACGAACUAAUAGCUGAUAACAUAAUUGAUAUGAUGAUUCCUGGGGAGGAUUCUGUGCCAGUUCUUAUGACAUUAGCCAUAAAAUACAUUUCAGAUUGCCCUGCUGCCUUGCAACAGUUAACAGAUGAGAACAUGAAAUUGAAAAAUCUUAAAGCUCAGCUUGGGGAGCCAUUAAUUUGGACUGAUUACUUAUCAUUACCAUUUACACAGAAGGUGAUCACAGAAACCUUAAGAAUGGGAAACAUUAUAGUUGGGGUAAUGAGAAAGGCCAUGAAGGAUAUAGAGAUAAAAGGGUAUUUGAUUCCAAAGGGAUGGUGUGCUUUUGCAUACUUUAGAUCAAUUCAUCUUGAUGGAAUUCACUAUGACUGGCCUUACCAGUUCAAUCCAUGGAGGUGGCAAGACAAAGACGCAAGCAGUAGCAACUUCACUCCAUUUGGCGGUGGGCAACGAUUAUGUCCUGGUCUUGACUUGGCUAGGCUUGAAGCUUCCAUUUUCUUACACCACUUCGUUACUCAAUUUAGUUGGGUGGCUGAGGAAGAUACAAUUGUAAACUUCCCAACAGUGAGAAUGAAGAGAAGAAUGCCAAUUUGGGUCAAAAGGAGAGAAAUAAUAAUAUAAAUUAAGAUCCUUGAGCACAUAAAAACUCUCCAAUAAAAAGGUUUUGAAGAAAACUUUCCCCUCACAAUGAUAGAGAGGAAAGACCAACUAGAAAAAGACUCAAUGGGCAUCAAAAUUAUAUAUAUUAUAAUAAUGCCAUUUGCCACAGUGCACACGUGUGGAGGCAUCAACAAGACUGACACAAAAUUUGUCAUCUUCCAUGUAGCUAGGUAUUGCAAAUAUAGACUAUAGAAUAAUAUAUUAUAUAAUUUCUAGCCAUUUUUAUCUUUAUUUUUUUUUAAUCUUAGCAUGCACAAUUGUAAAAGGUGAGUUGAAGUAGUGGGCAUAAAUCAAUGAUUUUGGGUCCCAAUGAAUAAUUAAUGUCGUUUUUAGAAUGUCUUAUGUGGAAUUCCUAUUGAGUAAUUUGAAUCCACCAACCAGCAAAUUCACAUUU